UACGAAGGGGGCUAGCGUUGCUCGGAAUCACUGGGCGUAAAGCGCACGUAGGCGGCUUUUUAAGUCAGGGGUGAAAUCCUGGAGCUCAACUCCAGAACUGCCUUUGAUACUGGGAAGCUUGAGUCCGGGAGAGGUGAGUGGAACUCCGAGUGUAGAGGUGAAAUUCGUAGAUAUUCGGAAGAACACCAGUGGCGAAGGCGGCUCACUGGCCCGGUACUGACGCUGAGGUGCGAAAGCGUGGGGAGCAAACAGA
rnacentral:rRNA from 1 species